GGAAAAUUGCUGAAAAAGAGUGAGGUAAAGGCCUUUUCAACUGGCUCAACACAGCCCAGUCAUCAUUCAGGACUUGGUCUGAUAUUCACUCAGUUCCCUGGUGCAGAUGGCUUCAGGAGAAGAUGAUUCCUAUUCUUUGCUUUCAUAGGCCCAUAAAUCCAGCCUGCUGAAAACAUUAAAAGGAG
rnacentral:lncRNA from 12 species